rnacentral:rRNA from 1 species
AGAGUUUGAUCAUGGCUCAGGAUGAACGCUAGCGGCAGGCCUAAUACAUGCAAGACGAACGGUAAGUGGUGUAGCAAUACAUCGCCUAGAGUGUCGCAAGGGUGCGUAACACGUAUGCAAUCUGCCCUCAACAGGAGGAUAGCUCCCCGAAAGGGGAAUUAACACUCCAUAACACCACGAAUGGGCAUCUGUUUGUGGUUAAAACUCCGGUGGUUGAGGAUGAGCAUGCGGAUGAUUAGCUAGUUGGCGGUGUAACGGACCACCAAGGCGAUGAUCAAUAGGGGAACUGAGAGGUUUAUCCCCCACACUGGCACUGAGAUACGGGCCAGACUCCUACGGGAGGCAGCAGUAGGGAAUAUUGGACAAUGGGCGCAAGCCUGAUCCAGCCAUGCCGCGUGCAGGAAGAAGGCCUUCUGGGUCGUAAACUGCUUUUCUCUGGGGAUAAAAAGACCCUGCGGGGUAAAUUGAAGGUACCAGAGGAAUAAGCCACGGCUAACUACGUGCCAGCAGCCGCGGUAAUACGUAGGUGGCAAGCGUUGUCCGGAUUUAUUGGGUUUAAAGGGUGCGUAGGCGGUUCCAUAAGUCAGUGGUGAAAUACGGCAGCUCAACUGUCGAGGUGCCAUUGAUACUGCAGAACUUGAGUACAGACGAGGUAGGCGGAAUUGACGGUGUAGCGGUGAAAUGCUUAGAUAUCGUCAAGAACACCGAUAGCGAAGGCAGCUUACUAGACUGUAACUGACGCUGAGGCACGAAAGUGUGGGGAUCAAACAGGAUUAGAUACCCUAGUAGUCC